rnacentral:rRNA from 1 species
CUGGCUCAGGACGAACGCUGGCGGCGUGCCUAAUACAUGCAAGUAGAACGCUGAAGAGAGGAGCUUGCUCUUCUUGGAUGAGUUGCGAACGGGUGAGUAACGCGUAGGUAACCUGCCUUGUAGCGGGGGAUAACUAUUGGAAACGAUAGCUAAUACCGCAUAACAAUGGAUGACACAUGUCAUUUAUUUGAAAGGGGCAAUUGCUCCACUACAAGAUGGACCUGCGUUGUAUUAGCUAGUAGGUGAGGUAACGGCUCACCUAGGCGACGAUACAUAGCCGACCUGAGAGGGUGAUCGGCCACACUGGGACUGAGACACGGCCCAGACUCCUACGGGAGGCAGCAGUAGGGAAUCUUCGGCAAUGGGGGCAACCCUGACCGAGCAACGCCGCGUGAGUGAAGAAGGUUUUCGGAUCGUAAAGCUCUGUUGUAAGUCAAGAACGAGUGUGAGAGUGGAAAGUUCACACUGUGACGGUAGCUUACCAGAAAGGGACGGCUAACUACGUGCCAGCAGCCGCGGUAAUACGUAGGUCCCGAGCGUUGUCCGGAUUUAUUGGGCGUAAAGCGAGCGCAGGCGGUUUGAUAAGUCUGAAGUUAAAGGCUGUGGCUCAACCAUAGUUCGCUUUGGAAACUGUCAAACUUGAGUGCAGAAGGGGAGAGUGGAAUUCCAUGUGUAGCGGUGAAAUGCGUAGAUAUAUGGAGGAACACCGGUGGCGAAAGCGGCUCUCUGGUCUGUAACUGACGCUGAGGCUCGAAAGCGUGGGGAGCGAACAGGAUUAGAUACCCUGGUAGUCCACGCCGUAAACGAUGAGUGCUAGGUGUUGGAUCCUUUCCGGGAUUCAGUGCCGCAGCUAACGCAUUAAGCACUCCGCCUGGGGAGUACGACCGCAAGGUUGAAACUCAAAGGAAUUGACGGGGGCCCGCACAAGCGGUGGAGCAUGUGGUUUAAUUCGAAGCAACGCGAAGAACCUUACCAGGUCUUGACAUCCCGAUGCUAUUUCUAGAGAUAGAAAGUUACUUCGGUACAUCGGUGACAGGUGGUGCAUGGUUGUCGUCAGCUCGUGUCGUGAGAUGUUGGGUUAAGUCCCGCAACGAGCGCAACCCCUAUUGUUAGUUGCCAUCAUUCAGUUGGGCACUCUAGCGAGACUGCCGGUAAUAAACCGGAGGAAGGUGGGGAUGACGUCAAAUCAUCAUGCCCCUUAUGACCUGGGCUACACACGUGCUACAAUGGUUGGUACAACGAGUUGCGAGUCGGUGACGGCAAGCUAAUCUCUUAAAGCCAAUCUCAGUUCGGAUUGUAGGCUGCAACUCGCCUACAUGAAGUCGGAAUCGCUAGUAAUCGCGGAUCAGCACGCCGCGGUGAAUACGUUCCCGGGCCUUGUACACACCGCCCGUCACACCACGAGAGUUUGUAACACCCGAAGUCGGUGAGGUAACCUUUUGGAGCCAGCCGCCUAAGGUGGGAUAGAUGAUUGGGGUGAAGUCGUAACAAGGUAACC